rnacentral:lncRNA from 1 species
CCUCAGAAAGUUUUUGUUUCUCCUUUGCUUUUAAAUAUUAAUUCCUUUAAACAAAAUUUUAAGCUGGUGGGUAUUUUUUCUUUCAAUAUAUAAAUAUUUUACUCCAUGAUCUUCUUGCUUGCAUGGUUUUUGAUGACACCUUGAUUUUAACUCAGUGAGAUACAUGUUAGACUUCUAACCUAUGAACUAUAAGAUAAUAAAUUUGUGUUGUUAUGACUCACUAAGUUUGUGGUAAUUUGUUUUAACAGCAAUAGAAAACUAAUAUACUAGUUUAGGUCUUCAGUAUCUUUUAGCUUAAGCAGAAUCUAAUUGUUCAUUCCCUCUCAAGGUUUAUUCUCUUCAAAUCCAUCUUUAAUACUGCUGUCAGAAUGAUUGAUCAAAAACUAAAAUUUGACAGAGUCUUCAUUUUAUUUCCUAAAACUCUGUAAGCUACAAAAUAAAUACUAAGCAUAUAACGUGAAAAAGGAAGCCCUCUAUGACCUGGCCCCACUCACCUAUUUAGCUUCAGUUUUCAUCAUAUACUUACAAUUUUGUCUACUCAUGAUACCAAAUUGCUUGUAGCUUCUACUGGAGAAAUUUCUUUAGUUUUAAGUAAAUGGAAAUAAAAGCUGGUUAACUUAAGUAAAAAUAGAGUUCACUGAAUGGGUUCUAGAUUAAUUAAUGUAAAACUCUUGGAAGACAGGAAUCAUCUCUCCAGAGAGCUGGCCACAAAUGACUCAGCACCAACACCAAUUGCCAUUGGUUUCCAUGUGUCUGCUCAAGGCUUAAAUUUCUGGAAUAGUCCCGGUGCGGUGGCUCACAUCUGUAAUCCCAGCACUUUGGGAGGCUGAGGCAGGUGGAUCACCUGAGGUUGGGAGUUCGAGUCCAGCCUGGCCAACAUGGUGAAACCCUGUCUCUACUAAAAACACAAAAAAAUUGGCCGGGCAUGGUGGUGGAUGCCUGUAAUCCCAGCUACUUUGGAGGCUGAGGCAGAAGAAUCAGUUGAACCUGGGAGGUGGAGGUUGCAGUGCACCAAGAUUACGCCAUUGCAUUCCAGGCUGGGCGACAAGAGUGAAACUCCAUCUCAAAAAAAAAAAAAGAAAAAAGAAAAAAGAAAAAAAAAGAAAAAAAAAGAAAUUUCUGGAAUAGAGAGGAGUAGAGUCACUUAUUUUAUAUGGAAACUCUCACUUAUCUCAAAUCUCACUACCUCCAUAGGCCAACCAUGUGGCCAAGGAGAGUGGGAUAGAUUAAUUAUUUCAUGCCUUUGAUCCAAGAACUACAAUCUGUAACGCAAAGGAGAGAGAGUGAAAGCUACUAGGCAAAUAAAAAUAAAAAUUCUAUACAUAUAUGUGGUUCAUAACUUUAUGCCAUUACCAUCUUUCUUCACCUAGAAUAACAGCACCAGGUUCCCUCCUUUCAUCUCUAAUAAUACCUUAGAUGUAACCUUAUCUCAUCCCUGAACUCUUUAUAUUGACAUUCUCUUCAUAGAUGUCAGUUUCUUCAACUAGGCUUUAAAAUGAAGGUUUUUCCACACUGGUUUUGGAAGAUUAAGCCUUCCUCUCUCUUUCCCUGUCUACCUCUCUUCUUUCUUCUUUCCUUGCUUGCUUCUUUGCUUCCUUUCUUUCUCUUCAUACACAGAUACAGUUUCAACCUUGGUCCACUAAUGUAUAGGUCUGAGGCAAAGAGAAUUAGAUGUCUUAAAAGUUGUUGAAUAGGGAUUCAAGUCAAUCUCUUCUAGAUUUUAAGCUGUCUUAGCUGACAUCGGGAUUAUAAAAUCUAGUAAUAAAGACACGUGUAAUUAAAUAAAAACAUUAGAGUAUACAUACUACAUAAAAAGCAAAUCAUAGAAUUUCACUCCAAUAAUAGCUAUAAGUUUUUUAAUGUUGAUAUUCAUUAAAAAUUUAACUAACUGCAACAAAACAUUGAGAAAGGCACAUACAGUGUCUGUUUCCACC